UGCAAAAGAACUCAUCCAAUCAACAAAUACUGCACAUGUUGUGUACUCCUACAAGCAACUUUUAAAUGAUACUUUGAAACAAAGCCUCACUACUAAAAUAGUUGUUGCUAAAGAUCUUUUGAGUUCUCUGGAUCAAAAUACUGCAAAUAGCUUCCACCAGCAUCAUACCAUGAAGUUUAUGUUUCCUUGUGUCAAUCUACAAGCUUUAGCUCCCAUUUCUAUCUCCCCUGCGACUGGUAUAAUAGGUAUGUGAAGCCUCAAUAAAUUCAAAAUUCUCAUUUGAACAUCCGCAGAGUAGUGACACUCAAAUAAGAGAUGAAGGACGGUCUCAACAUUAGCAGAACAAAGGGAACAUGUAGCAUUAGGUUGAUCUGGUAAUUUUCCUCCUCCAAUCAUCCUAGAGAGCCUCCCAGAAGAUCAGAAUCAGCAGCCACCUAUCAAUCUUCAUGACUAACAGAAACGCAAGUUCAACAAGACAAGAUGACAGGAGCGAAUUAUAAGAUCUGUCUGUUUUUGAGAUGCCCGGAAAUAGAGUUGAUACUGAUCAAAUGAGUAUGCUAAUAGGGAAUACAUGUUCUAAAGUGCGUACUGCGUUGCAAGAAACUCAAAUUGAAGAACCAUAACCAUAAUACAACAAAGAAGACUGGUCAAGAAAGGAAUGUGUAGCUGUACCGUUACCCAACAAUAGUGUUUUGAGGAUCGACAUGCCUUUGAACUUCAGUGUGCCCCUGAAAUCUCUCACAUUUCCACAUCCGAAUGAGUUCUCAGCUCCAACAUCUGCCUGUGAACCUCCUGGUCCUCCCCGUCUGUGAGUUUGCCACCUUGUGAAGCCACGUGGGAGGAAGCCUCUGUAGGUUUAUAGCAAACGCCACAGAAAGGAGCAAGCACAAGCACCUACAGCAGGCACAAAGCAUAGUUGAAUGGGUGAAGAGUUACCGUUAUCCACUAGAGGACAAGAAGAGCAUCAUAUGGCAAUUAAUCAAAUUCUACUUAGUAGAAUAACCUAGUGCAUAAAUAGCAGAGAAAAAGAAAGAGAAAGGCAUUGUGGAAUUUGUAUUGUCUUUGGAUAUUAGAAACCUAAAGUUACUUGUUUGGGGAUUGAUAGCCUCAAGCUAUCUGUUUGUAGUGUACUUACCUUUGGAUAUUUGACGAAUUAAAGCUACAAC